rnacentral:rRNA from 1 species
UACAGAGGGUGCGAGCGUUAAUCGGAAUUACUGGGCGUAAAGCGUGCGCAGGCGGUUUUGUAAGUCUGUCGUGAAAGCCCCGGGCUCAACCUGGGAAUUGCGAUGGAGACUGCAAGGCUUGAAUCUGGCAGAGGGGGGUAGAAUUCCACGUGUAGCAGUGAAAUGCGUAGAGAUGUGGAGGAACACCGAUGGCGAAGGCAGCCCCCUGGGCUAACACUGACGCUCAUGCACGAAAGCGUGGGGAGCAAACAGG